rnacentral:rRNA from 1 species
AUUGAACGCUGGCGGCAUGCUUUACACAUGCAAGUCGAACGGCAGCACGGGCUUCGGCCUGGUGGCGAGUGGCGAACGGGUGAGUAAUAUAUCGGAACGUACCCAGACGUGGGGGAUAACGUAGCGAAAGUUACGCUAAUACCGCAUACGAUCUAUGGAUGAAAGCAGGGGACCGCAAGGCCUUGUGCUCCUGGAGCGGCCGAUAUCUGAUUAGCUAGUUGGUGAGGUAAAGGCUCACCAAGGCGACGAUCAGUAGCUGGUCUGAGAGGACGACCAGCCACACUGGAACUGAGACACGGUCCAGACUCCUACGGGAGGCAGCAGUGGGGAAUUUUGGACAAUGGGCGCAAGCCUGAUCCAGCAAUGCCGCGUGAGUGAAGAAGGCCUUCGGGUUGUAAAGCUCUUUUGUCAGGGAAGAAACGGUAGAGGCUAAUAUCCUUUGCUAAUGACGGUACCUGAAGAAUAAGCACCGGCUAACUACGUG